CCACUGGCGAGGAUACAGACAGCGCCGCGCUUAUCUCCGGAGACUGAACUAUUUAUACCGGAACGUUGGCGCCGUCGUCAAGAUCCAGUCGUUGGUCAGAAUGUGGCUCGCCCGCA